rnacentral:pre_miRNA from 1 species
UGAUCCAUUGCAUUUUUUUAAUCAAGGAAAUUACACUCGAGUGAGAUUGAGUACAAGGGGAUCUUCGCUCCUCUUCAUCUUUCUUGAGUCUAUUUUCUUGAUUAAAGAAAUUCGCUGGAUCA